rnacentral:misc_RNA from 1 species
AUCUGAAUGUCUUCACAGAGAGUAUAUUCAUGGCGGAUUCAAAACGUGUGUGUGAGAGACAGUACAUCAAAAAGUAAAGGAUUGGAUUGUAUUUUGUGUUUUUACAAUGCCGCAUGUGAACUCUGGCGGCUCCGAAGACUUUUUCUCGAACGAUGAAGUGAAAGUUUACAAAGAUGAAGGCGAGGAAGAAAAGAGAUCGUCCGAAAAUUUAUCCGAGGAUAAACUGGGUUUGGUUACCGAAACAGAGGAGGGCAAAAACAAUAACCUUGGUGGCAGCUACGCUGGGAAUGAUAAGGAGGGUGUUCGAGAGGACGGUAAAGGUGGGAACCAGGGACAAGAUAGAAAUGCAGGUGGAUUUGGAUACUCAGUACCUUACCAACCAUACCCCAACGGCACAAACAAUUUGGGGAGUAAAGUUUCCAUGGUACAGCCUCCCCUUCCGGGGUUUGUGAUGUACAACGGUGAACACUUAUCACAACCUCCUCCGGCUCAUAUGGGCAUACCUCCAAUGCACAUAGAUCCCAAAACAGGGUUACCACGACCACCAAUGUAUGCUUACCCAGCCCCCUCACAGUUUCCACCAGGUUUAUACGGUCCAGACCUGUCGCAAGUGCAAUGGCAGAGACAAGGGUACCCCAUCUCCUCAGGUGCCUUCUCCGGGGCAUACCCACCUUCAUUAUUAAACUCAAGUGCAUUAUCACGGUUCGGCCAUCCUGGCCUAUUCCCACCCCCGGGCAUUCCCCACCCAGGCAUGCCUCACCCCACCUUAAUGUCACCAGCCAAUAAACAGGAUGGAGGACAGCAUCCCCACGGCCAAGAUAGAAUGAAUGACCAAGGGGGCAGUGGCCACAAUCAGCGGGAAGAACAAGAAAAGAAGAAACCUCAUAUAAAGAAACCUCUAAAUGCCUUUAUGUUAUUUAUGAAGGAGCAACGGGCCAAAGUGGUAGCAGAAUGUACAUUGAAAGAAUCUGCAGCAAUAAACCAAAUUUUAGGUAGAAAGUGGCAUGCACUAGAUAGGUCAGAACAAACAAAAUAUUAUGAAAUGGCAAGGAAAGAAAAAGAGCUACAUUUACAACUGUAUCCCGGCUGGAGUGCCAGAGAUAACUAUGCUGCACACACUAAGAAAAAGAGGAAAAAGAGAGACACUCCAUCAGGUCAUGCAGAUUGUACAAUUGCAAAAAAGUGUCGAGCGCGUUAUGGUCUGGAGCAGCAGGGACAGUGGUGUAAGCCUUGUCGAAGAAAGAAGAAAUGUAUUAGAUACAUGCUCGACGAUGGAGUCGAAUACGUAACUGACGGGGAAGACGGUCCCAUGAGUGACGACGUGACCACAGGAGACUCUGUGCAUGACAGCGACUCCAUGGUAGGGAGUCCGUUACUUUCGGUAACAAGUGAUGAUGCAUUUUCUACACCAUCAAAGUCUUUCUGCCAAAACUCGCCGCCGUCCUGUUUGGACCUCGAGGACCAAGGCGAGGACCUGGACUUGACUUUAAAGCCUGUUGAUAAUGGUGUGGUUAGGGAGCCCCUGUGUCCCCGGUCUCAUGACCUGAAUGACAGUCGGCAGUAUAGCCUAAACAGAGACCUGAAUGUCACACUGACUAUGUGUACAAGCCCAGUCGAACCAGUGCCUACAUCUCACAGUGCGAGCAGUAUACUUAUCCCCUAGCAGUCAAUAGGUGGGAUCAAAUCUUCAGUCAUUUUCAUUGACCAUGUAUCAGUUAGUGUUAUUGUACAUAAGAACAUAUAGAUGCAAGUGUACAGCAUAAUACCGAGAUCUCAUACUAUUGAUGUCACUAUACUUGGUACUGUAUUCCCUUCAUUAGUCCUCUACCCCCGGAGUUGUUACAUUUGUGCGGUGUGCGUGGAGGAAGGAGGGCCGUUACGUGAUGGACCCUCUCAGGCCUCUGCUGUGCAGGGGCAGACUUUACAGGAGUGGUGUAUCACUAAUCGGCAAAACGGGCAGUACCGUUGUGGAAUUACCUUCUUGUGUCAGAACCACGCUUCAGGAGACCAUUGUAUGGCUCAACAAACAGGAUGUCAAAACAUGUAUGUCGAGCUCAUGCUGCGGUGAUCAUGGUUACAAAAUACUUAACCCCACCCAGGAUUGUGAAAUCACAUGACAUAUCUUGUUGCUACAAACCUGGAGGUAUAUAUAUGAACUUGUGUGCCAGCUUUCAAAUUGUUUCCAUCAGUUUGUUCGCCAUGAUACAUGUCAACUGAUCCCAUUUCACUGACAUUGUAGUUAUUUGAUUGCUAAAUGUCCCCAAUCUCUGGACCAACAUGAGACAAAUUUUCAGUGUAUAUCGAAGUAGCGAGCAUACAUCAGUGUCCAAUACAACAUUGAAGCAAUUUAAUUAUUAUUAAAUAUUAUUAUUUUAAUUGAUUUUGAGCCGAUUCUGAUUGGCUGAAACAACAUAUGUGACCACCUGUAAAAGUAGUUAUAAACCGGAGUGGUUUGCAGGUGUUCAAAAAAGGUAGAAAGUGUAAAACUAUUUUUUUACUUCAAUUUUGAAAAAAUCAAUUAAAAUAAUACAACUAUUGUAGCAUGGUGAUUUUGGUCGAUACAUGGUUUUAUCAACCUAGGUUAGCAAUAUUGACCGAGGUCAAUAUUGCUAACCUAGGUCGAUAAAACGAUGUUGAAUAAAACCAUGUUGAAUAAAACCUCAAGUUGAAACUUA